GUUGGUACUAAGUACCACCUAUUUAAAACUUUAAAGUGUGUUUCUAAUAAAUUUAAUGAGUGUAUGUUCUUCUUAACAUCCAUCAUUGAAGAACCCCAUUGUUUCAUACUAAUAUCAAUAUUUAAGUCUUGUUUCCAUGUCUGUAUAGCAGUAGGAUUUAUGUCCUUGACCAUUGAUUUAGUUAAUAUCAGAGCUUUAGAGAGUGGUUUAUUAAUUUUU